rnacentral:rRNA from 1 species
GCCACAGCACCGCAUGGUGCAGGGGUAAAAACUCCGGUGGUGUGAGAUGGGCCCGCGUCUGAUUAGGUAGUUGGUGAGGUAACGGCUCACCAAGCCGACGAUCAGUAGCCGACCUGAGAGGGUGACCGGCCACAUUGGGACUGAGACACGGCCCAAACUCCUACGGGAGGCAGCAGUGGGGAAUAUUGCACAAUGGGGGAAACCCUGAUGCAGCGACGCCGCGUGAGCGAUGAAGUAUUUCGGUAUGUAAAGCUCUAUCAGCAGGGAAGAAACUGACGGUACCUGACUAAGAAGCACCGGCUAAAUACGUGCCAGCAGCCGCGGUAAUACGUAUGGUGCAAGCGUUAUCCGGAUUUACUGGGUGUAAAGGGAGCGUAGACGGACUUGCAAGUCUGAAGUGAAAGCCCGGGGCUCAACCCCGGGACUGCUUUGGAAACUGUAGGUCUAGAGUGCUGGAGAGGUAAGUGGAAUUCCUAGUGUAGCGGUGAAAUGCGUAGAUAUUAGGAGGAACACCAGUGGCGAAGGCGGCUUACUGGACAGUAACUGACGUUGAGGCUCGAAAGCGUGGGGAGCAAACAGGAUUAGAUACCCUGGUAGUCCACGCCGUAAACGAUGACUGCUAGGUGUCGGGGAGCAAAGCUCUUCGGUGCCGCAGCUAA